UGUCUGGGGACUGCUACUAACCAUGCUCCUUCUCUCUGAUCAGCUUGUGCCAGUAUCCUGGCUCCAAUCACUGCCCGACGUUCCUCGGCUGCGCCCAGUCACCGUGAUAACUUUCUAUCCACUUAUCAAACACUGUGAGGCUGCAGAAUGACGUCCAUGUUUCGCUCUAGUUCAUCCCGUCCUCCCAUGGGAUAUGGGAGAGAAAUGGCUGCAGAGGAACCAGUUCAGGGGCCGGUGACCUUCGAGGAGGUGGCUGUGUAUUUCACCAG